rnacentral:rRNA from 1 species
GACGGACGCUGGCGGCGUGCCUAACACAUGCAAGUCGAGCGAGUGGAUCUCCUUCGGGAGUGAAGCUAGCGGCGGACGGGUGAGUAACACGUGGGCAACCUGCCUCAUAGAGGGGAAUAGCCUUUCGAAAGGAAGAUUAAUACCGCAUAAGAUUGUAGCUUCGCAUGAAGUAGCAAUUAAAGGAGCAAUCCGCUAUGAGAUGGGCCCGCGGCGCAUUAGCUAGUUGGUGAGGUAACGGCUCACCAAGGCGACGAUGCGUAGCCGACCUGAGAGGGUGAUCGGCCACAUUGGGACUGAGACACGGCCCAGACUCCUACGGGAGGCAGCAGUGGGGAAUAUUGCACAAUGGGGGAAACCUUGAUGCAGCAACGCCGCGUGAGUGAUGACGGCCUUCGGGUUGUAAAGCUCUGUCUUCAGGGACGAUAAUGACGGUACCUGAGGAGGAAGCCACGGCUAACUACGUGCCAGCCGCCGCAGUAACAC